UGGUGAAGGAGGAGGACGUGGUGGAAGAGGAGGAGGAGGUGGUGAAGGAGGUGGAGGUGGAGAACGACGGCGACAAGGAAGGGGAAGAGCAAGGGCACGAAGACAGUCAGUCUCGGAUGGAAUUCGAGCCACUUUAGCUGACCAUGUCCUUGUCCAUGGGAUGACUAUGAGGGAGGCUGGGCAACGAGUACAACCAAAUUUGAGUCGCUUCACUGUUGCCUCCAUCAUCAGAACCUUCAGGGAGGAAAACAGGACACAGAGACGACCACCUGGUGGAGGCAGGUUAAGGCUUUUGUCGGAGGAGCAAGAGAGGGAACUUGUAAACAUGGUAAUUGCAAAUAAUGUAAUCCGCCUGCAAGAGAUUCAAAGGAGAGUGAUUGAGGAUGAUCAUCUUUUUCGAGGCAUAAAUGCCAUCAGCCUCUCCACAAUUGACCGCAUCCUCCGAAAGAAUCAAUUCCGGAUGAAACAGGCAUACUGAGUCCCUUUCGAACGAAACUCUGACAGAGUGAAAAACCAACGUGUGGAAUAUGUUCAGAGAAUCUUUGAGAUUGAAGGACGGCCUGUUCCCCAUGAAAUGAUCUUUGUGGAUGAGGCAGGUUUUAACCUGACCAAAAGAAGGAAAAGGGGGAGGAACAUAAUUGGCCAUCGGGCUAUUGUAAAUGUCCCUGGUCAGCGUGGGGGGAAUGUCACUAUGUGCGCAGCCAUCAGCCAACGAGGGGUACUCCUAGUACGGCCAUGCCGUACUAGGACCCUAUAACACUAUGCUUCUCCUUGCUUUUCUUGAUGGUUUAAGACAACAUAUGUUCCAGCUGGACUACAGGGAACCAGCACAGCCAGAGCAGCCUCACUACGUUGUUGUGUGGGAUAACGUCAGCUUCCAUCGCGCUGCUCUGGUUCGUGACUGGUUUACCAAUAACCCAAGGUUUUCUAAUAUCUUUCUGCCUGCAUACUCCCCCUUUCUAAACCCGAUAGAGGAGUUAUUUUCGGCAUGGCGGUGGAAAGUGUAUGACCGAGAACCUUAUGUCCGUGUUCACCUCCUUCAGGCCAUGGAAGAGGCCUGCCUAGACAUAUCAGUAGAUGCAUGCCAGGGGUGGAUCAGGCAUGCAAGAGGAUUUUACCCCCGCUGCCUGGCUGGGGCCAAUAUAGCCUGUGAUGUGGAUGAGAUUCUCUGGCCUGACCCAGACCAAAGACAAGAUGCUGUGGUGGGAUAAUGUUUCUGGUGUGUGUUGUACUGUAUAGUACAUGAAUGACAAUGUGCCACUGUACAUACAUUGGUUGCGUCUUUUGUGUUUAUCAUGUGACAAGGGUUUUGAAGGGGAGAACCAUAAGCAACCUAAUUGUUUUGGAACUAUUGUUUUGAAUUAAUUGUACCAGUGUGCAAAA